GUAAUCUAUCUUUUUUGGACUGACUCUAAUUUUGGGGGUGGGGAAUAUCCAAUCUUUUGGAAACGUACCAACGGAUGAGCCAGAAGAAAUCAGCAUAAAGGUUGUGGGAUUUUCUACAAAAGACAACAAAUUAGUUCUGCUGACAAAGGAUCAGGAGGAGCUGAAUGUCGCCCACAAACUUUCCUCUGAAGAUGCUGACGAGCUGCAACAAAGACUGCCAGUAGAGCUGACGGUAACCAGAAAGGGCCAAGAGGUUAUGAAGUUGCUGAAAGCUCCACCUCCUCUGGAUGAAAAUUUUAUUAAUCGUUUGAAUGAGAGCAUCAGUACUUCUUCACAGAGAGCUGCUGAAAAUGAUCCAGGACUUGAACAGAAAGAGGGACAAGUAGUUUCAGUACAACAGCAAAGCACAGAUGAGCCUGAAAGAAAUGAUGAGGAAUGUCAGGCUUCAGAAAACACCUCUCUUCUUCUGGAGAAGCCAAGCUCCUCCUCCUCGACCUCUAACAUGGAGAUGCAGACGAAAUGACAGUAGACCCGUCAGUAACCAGAAGUGGAAAUGUUUAAAUUCUGAAAUGUAAAUGAACUCAAUUAACUGUUCUGCUCAUCAUGGUCAACAUACUUUUUUCUAAUCUUUAAAAACUUCUAAUCAAUCUCAC
ensembl:lncRNA